GACGAACGCUGGCGGCGUGCCUAAUACAUGCAAGUUGAGCGCUGAAGGUUGGUACUUGUACCAACUGGAUGAGCAGCGAACGGGUGAGUAACGCGUGGGGAAUCUGCCUUUGAGCGGGGGACAACAUUUGGAAACGAAUGCUAAUACCGCAAAAAACUUUAAACACAAGUUUUAAGUUUGAAAGAUGCAAUUGCAUCACUCAAAGAUGAUCCCGCGUUGUAUUAGCUAGUUGGUGAGGUAAAGGCUCACCAAGGCGAUGAUACAUAGCCGACCUGAGAGGGUGAUCGGCCACAUUGGGACUGAGACACGGCCCAAACUCCUACGGGAGGCAGCAGUAGGGAAUCUUCGGCAAUGGACGAAAGUCUGACCGAGCAACGCCGCGUGAGUGAAGAAGGUUUUCGGAUCGUAAAACUCUGUUGGUAGAGAAGAACGUUGGUGAGAGUGGAAAGCUCAUUCAAGUGACGGUAACUACCCA
rnacentral:rRNA from 1 species